rnacentral:rRNA from 1 species
UACGUAGGGUGCGAGCGUUAAUCGGAAUUACUGGGCGUAAAGCGUGCGCAGGCGGUUAUGCAAGACAGAUGUGAAAUCCCCGGGCUCAACCUGGGAACUGCAUUUGUGACUGCAUGGCUGGAGUGCGGCAGAGGGGGAUGGAAUUCCGCGUGUAGCAGUGAAAUGCGUAGAUAUGCGGAGGAACACCGAUGGCGAAGGCAAUCCCCUGGGCCUGCACUGACGCUCAUGCACGAAAGCGUGGGGAGCGAUCCGG